AAGAAAAGGUCAGGAUAGCUCAGUUGGUAGAGCAGAGGACUGAAA
rnacentral:tRNA from 2 species